rnacentral:rRNA from 1 species
GUCGAGAAUCUUUCACAAUGGGGGCAACCCUGAUGGAGCGACGCCGCGUGGAGGAUAAGGUCUUCGGAUUGUAAACUCCUGUCAUGCGUGAACAAGGUUGCUUGGUUAAUACCUGGGCAAAUUGAUGGUAACGCAAGAGGAAGAGACGGCUAACUCUGUGCCAGCAGCCGCGGUAAUACAGAGGUCUCAAGCGUUGUUCGGAAUCACUGGGCGUAAAGGGUGCGUAGGUGGCGUGGUAAGUCAGAUGUGAAAGCCCGGGGCUCAACCUCAGAACUGCAUCCGAUACUGCCAUGCUAGAGUACUGGAGAGGUGACUAGAAUUCUCGGUGUAGCAGUGAAAUGCGUAGAUAUCGAGAGGAAUACCAAAGGCGUAGGCAGGUCACUGGACAGUUACUGACACUGAGGCACGAAGGCCAGGGGAGCGAACGGGAUUAGAUACCCCUGUAGUCC